rnacentral:rRNA from 1 species
CGCCAGUUUUGGCGGAGCCAUCCUUGGGAUACCACCCUUGUAGUACUGGGACUCUAACCAUAGGCCAUGAAUCUGGUCUUGGGACACUGUCAGGUGGGCAGUUUGACUGGGGCGGUCGCCUCCCAAAAGGUAACGGAGGCGCUCAAAGGUUCUCUCAGUACGGUCGGAAAUCGUACGUAGAGUGUAAAGGCAAAAGAGAGCUUGAUUGCAAGACAUACAGGUCGAGCAAGGAUGAAAAUCGGACUUAGUGAUCCGGUGGUUCUGCGUGGAAGGGCCAUCGCUCAACGGAUAAAAGCUACCCUGGGGAUAACAGGCUUAUCUCCCCCAAGAGUCCACAUCGACGGGGAGGUUUGGCACCUCGAUGUCGGCUCAUCACAUCCUGGGGCUGUAGUAGGUCCCAAGGGUUGGGCUGUUCGCCCAUUAAAGUGGUACGCGAGCUGGGUUCAGAACGUCGUGAGACAGUUCGGUCCCUAUCCGUCGCAGGCGUAGGAAAUUUGAGAAGACCUGUCCUUAGUACGAGAGGACCGGGAUGGACGUACCUCUGGUGUACCAGUUGUUCUGCCAAGGGCAUGGCUGGGUAGCUAUGUACGGAAUGGAUAAGCGCUGAAAGCAUCUAAGCGCGAAGCCAACUUCAAGAUAAGAUUUCCCACCGCAAGGGUAAGACCCCAGAAAGACUAUCUGGUUGAUAGGUCGAAGGUGUAAGUGCAGCAAUGUAUUUAGCUUAUCGAUACUAAUAGGUCGAGGACUUGACCAAAUU